UUCAGCGGUCCGCCUAUGGUGAGUACUGCUGUGGCCUUCCUUACUGUUGGGGACCUGCUUCUGGGCUUCAUUGUCCGGGACAGGGAUUCAGCAUGGUUACUUUGAGUAAAUUGGAGUGUUCAAAGCAGGCUUACGCCGUGAACAUUUUAGCAUGGAAUAACAUGAUAGGACUCUGCCCUAUUCUGUUGGCCUGUAGGAGUGGAGUAAUGAUUAAGAGGAACAGUCGGGGGCAUUCGUAUUUCAUUGUCAGAGGUGAAAUUCUUGGAUUUAUGAAAGACGAACUACUGCGAAAGCAUUUGCCAAGGAUGUUUUCAUUAAUCAAGAACGAAAGUUGGGGGGCUCGAAGACGAUUAGAUACCGUCGUAGUCUCAACCAUAAACGAUGCCGACUAGGGAUUGGCGGACGUUUUUGCAUGACUCCGUCAGCACC
rnacentral:rRNA from 1 species